CGUGCAGGCGGUUUGGAAAGUUGGAUGUGAAAGCUCCUGGCUCAACUAGGAGAGGACGUUCAAAACUACCAGACUAGAGGACGGUAGAGGGAGGUGGAAUUCCCGGUGUAGUGGUGAAAUGCGUAGAUAUCGGGAGGAACACCAGUGGCGAAGGCGGCCUCCUGGGCCGUUCCUGACGCUCAGACGCGAAAGCUAGGGUAGCAAACG
rnacentral:rRNA from 1 species